CCGCGUGGGAGGAUGACGCCUUUCGGNGUGUAAACUCCUUUUAUAUGGGAAGAUAAUGACGGUACCNUAUGAAUAAGCUCCGGCUAACUCCGUGCCAGCCAGCCGCGGUAAUAAAUA
rnacentral:rRNA from 1 species